rnacentral:rRNA from 1 species
UACAGAGGUCCCAAGCGUUGUUCGGAUUCAUUGGGCGUAAAGGGUGCGUAGGUGGCGUGGUAAGUCGGGUGUGAAAUUUCGGAGCUUAACUCCGAAACUGCAUUCGAUACUGCCGUGCUUGAGGACUGGAGAGGAGACUGGAAUUUACGGUGUAGCAGUGAAAUGCGUAGAGAUCGUAAGGAAGACCAGUGGCGAAGGCGGCUUCCUGGCCCAAAACUGACGCUGAGGUGCGAAAGCGUGGGGAGCAAACAGG